rnacentral:rRNA from 1 species
GAUGAACGCUGGCGGCGUGCCUAAUACAUGCAAGUCGAGCGAACGGACGAGAAGCUUGCUUCUCUGAUGUUAGCGGCGGACGGGUGAGUAACACGUGGAUAACCUACCUAUAAGACUGGGAUAACUUCGGGAAACCGGAGCUAAUACCGGAUAAUAUUUUGAACCGCAUGGUUCAAAAGUGAAAGACGGUCUUGCUGUCACUUAUAGAUGGAUCCGCGCUGCAUUAGCUAGUUGGUAAGGUAACGGCUUACCAAGGCAACGAUGCAUAGCCGACCUGAGAGGGUGAUCGGCCACACUGGAACUGAGACACGGUCCAGACGCCUGCGAGAGGCAGCAGUAGGGAAUCUGCCGCAAUGGGCGAGAGCCUGACGGAGCAACGCCGCGUGAGUGAUGAAGGUCUUCGGAUCGUAAAACUCUGUUAUUGGGGAAGAACAUAUGUGUAAGUAACUGUGCACAUCUUGACGGUACCUAAUCAGAAAGCCACGGCUAACUACGUG